rnacentral:rRNA from 2 species
GUAACACGUGGGAAACCUGCCCAGAAGCGGGGGAUAACACCUGGAAACAGAUGCUAAUACCGCAUAACAACUUGGACCGCAUGGUCCGAGUUUGAAAGAUGGCUUCGGCUAUCACUUUUGGAUGGUCCCGCGGCGUAUUAGCUAGAUGGUGGGGUAACGGCUCACCAUGGCAAUGAUACGUAGCCGACCUGAGAGGGUAAUCGGCCACAUUGGGACUGAGACACGGCCCAAACUCCUACGGGAGGCAGCAGUAGGGAAUCUUCCACAAUGGACGAAAGUCUGAUGGAGCAACGCCGCGUGAGUGAAGAAGGGUUUCGGCUCGUAAAACUCUGUUGUUAAAGAAGAACAUAUCUGAGAGUAACUGUUCAGGUAUUGACGGUAUUUAACCAGAAAGCCACGGCUAACUACGUGCCAGCAGCCGCGGUAAUACGUAGGUGGCAAGCGUUGUCCGGAUUUAUUGGGCGUAAAGCGAGCGCAGGCGGUUUUUUAAGUCUGAUGUGAAAGCCUUCGGCUCAACCGAAGAAGUGCAUCGGAAACUGGGAAACUUGAGUGCAGAAGAGGACAGUGGAACUCCAUGUGUAGCGGUGAAAUGCGUAGAUAUAUGGAAGAACACCAGUGGCGAAGGCGGCUGUCUGGUCUGUAACUGACGCUGAGGCUCGAAAGUAUGGGUAGCAAACAGGAUUAGAUACCCUGGUAGUCCAUACCGUAAACGAUGAAUGCUAAGUGUUGGAGGGUUUCCGCCCUUCAGUGCUGCAGCUAACGCAUUAAGCAUUCCGCCUGGGGAGUACGGCCGCAAGGCUGAAACUCAAAGGAAUUGACGGGGGCCCGCACAAGCGGUGGAGCAUGUGGUUUAAUUCGAAGCUACGCGAAGAACCUUACCAGGUCUUGACAUACUAUGCAAAUCUAAGAGAUUAGACGUUCCCUUCGGGGACAUGGAUACAGGUGGUGCAUGGUUGUCGUCAGCUCGUGUCGUGAGAUGUUGGGUUAAGUCCCGCAACGAGCGCAACCCUUAUUAUCAGUUGCCAGCAUUAAGUUGGGCACUCUGGUGAGACUGCCGGUGACAAACCGGAGGAAGGUGGGGAUGACGUCAAAUCAUCAUGCCCCUUAUGACCUGGGCUACACACGUGCUACAAUGGAUGGUACAACGAGUUGCGAACUCGCGAGAGUAAGCUAAUCUCUUAAAGCCAUUCUCAGUUCGGAUUGUAGGCUGCAACUCGCCUACAUGAAGUCGGAAUCGCUAGUAAUCGCGGAUCAGCAUGCCGCGGUGAAUACGUUCCCGGGCCUUGUACACACCGCCCGUCACACCAUGAGAGUUUGUAACACCCAAAGUCGGUGGGGUAACCUUUUAGGAACCAGCCGC